rfam:Pelodiscus sinensis unplaced genomic scaffold scaffold501, whole genome shotgun sequence.
GACUACAGCCAGUUUUGCAGGAUUGCAUUCCAGCUUAUUUCAAAUGCUGUGCAAAUCCAUGCAAAACUGACUGUGGUU